UACGGAGGGGGCUAGCGUUGUUCGGAAUUACUGGGCGUAAAGCGCGCGUAGGCGGACCUGCAAGUCGGGGGUGAAAGCCCGAGGCUCAGCCUCGGAACUGCCUUCGAUACUGCGGGUCUCGAGUCCGGGAGAGGUGAGUGGAAUUCCUAGUGUAGAGGUGAAAUUCGUAGAUAUUAGGAAGAACACCAGUGGCGAAGGCGGCUCACUGGCCCGGUACUGACGCUGAGGCGCGAAGGCGUGGGGAGCAAACAGG
rnacentral:rRNA from 1 species